rnacentral:rRNA from 1 species
CUGGUCGAGUGACCCCGCGCCGAAAAUGUACCGGGGCUAAACAUAUUACCGAAACUGUGGAUGAACCUCUUUAGAGGUUCGUGGUAGGAGAGCGUUCUAAGGGCGGUGAAGUCAGACCGGAAGGACUGGUGGAGCGCUUAGAAGUGAGAAUGCCGGUAUGAGUAGCGAAAGAAGGGUGAGAAUCCCUUCCACCGAAUAUCUAAGGUUUCCUGAGGAAGGCUCGUCCGCUCAGGGUUAGUCGGGACCUAAGCCGAG